AAUACAACUUUUAACAACGGAUCUCUUGGCUCUCGCAUCGAUGAAGAACGCAGCGAAAUGCGAUAAGUAAUGUGAAUUGCAGAAUUCAGUGAAUCAUCGAAUCUUUGAACGCACCUUGCGCUCUCUGGUAUUCCGGGGAGCACACCUGUUCGA
rnacentral:rRNA from 1 species